rnacentral:rRNA from 1 species
AUUGAACGCUGGCGGCAGGCCUCACACAUGCAAGUCGAGCGGAUGAAGGGAGCUUGCUCCUGGCUUCAGCGGCGGACGGGUGAGUAAUGCCUAGGAAUCUGCCUGGUUGUGGGGGAUCACGUCCGGAAACGGGCGCUAAUACCGCAUACGUCCUGAGGGAGAAAGUGGGGGAUCUUCGGACCUCACGCUAUCAGAUGAGCCUAGGUCGGAUUAGCUAGUUGGUGGGGUAAAGGCCUACCAAGGCGACGAUCCGUACCUGGUCUGAGAGGAUGAUCAGUCACACUGGAACUGAGACACGGUCCAGACUCGUAAGGGAGGCAGCAGUGGGGAAGAUUGGACAAUGGGCGAAAGCAUGAUCCAGCCAUGCCGCGCGUGUGAAGAAGGUCUUCGGAUUGUAAAGCACUUUAAGUGGGGAGGAAGGGCAGUAAGUUAAUACCGUGCUGUUUUGACGGUACCAACAGAAUAAGCACCGGCUAACUUCGUG